rnacentral:lncRNA from 1 species
UGACAAACCAGAAAUAUUUUUAGGUCCAGAAGAAGAUGACUGUUCAGAAGAAGAUGACUGUUCAGAAGAAGAUGACUGUUCAGAAGAAGAUGACUGUUCAGAAGAAGAUGACUGUUCAGAAGAAGAUGACUGUUCAGAAGAAGAUGACUGUUCAGAAGAAGAUGACUGUUCAGAAGAAGAUGACUGUUCAGAAGAAGAUGGCUGUUCAGAAGAAGAUGACUGUUCAGAAGAAGAUGACUGUUCAGAAGAAGAUGACUUUUCAGAAGAAGAUGACUGUUCAGAAGAAGAUGACUGUUCAGAAGAAGAUGACUGUUCAGAAGAAGAUGACUGUUCAGAAGAAGAUGACUGUUCAGAAGAAGAUGACUGUUCAGAAGAAGAUGACUGUUCAGAAGAAGUUGAUCC